UGCUGGUCAAUCGGUUUGUUUGAUCGACGCCAAGCGUGCGGUUAGCACGAAGGCUUAAUUCGAUUAUACUAAGAACGUUAUUUUUGAAGACACGUGACCAAAAAUGCAUCCGUUUAACUCGAGCACAACGUCCUCAUGUAAGUGAAAGCAAAUCAAUAUCGCAUCUUCUGUUUGUGAUAGUUCGGAGUUUGAACACGAAUAUGAAAUUUACUUCGUAAAGCUCUGCUGGAACAAAGUAACCACAAGUUUGUGCUUCAUCUAAAAAGAAAACACCUGCUUAAACGUUAAUCAGACUUUAACGUGAGUCCGGCCGGACACGAUAACGCCGACCAGAUGAAAAGAGCGUUUGCUGGAAGGAUGCAAGGCAAUUUCAAAUUGAGUUUAUCAUGCGAACCAUUUAAAUUUAGUAUGAUUGCUAUAUUGAUGUUGUUAAAUUAGUUGAGUUAUCGUUUAAUUAAAGAGAACAUUGGCCGCACCACUUAACGAGUCUGUGGAUAAUGUUUUCAUUA